AUUUUAAAGCACUUUUUAAAUGUGUUUUGACUACUGUGUGCAAAGGUAACUAAAAAAAGUUCCCAUUUGCUUUCAUUUCAGCCCAUUGUAAAACCAAACAUUCCUCCACCCCCGGUGCCCCCAGCCAAAUCAGCCAUACCUCCAGCCAUGAUGGAACCAAUAAAUUCAGCUCCUUCUUCUCACAUCAAGUGUAAGCCAGCUCCUCCACCUCCACCCCAGGCACUGAAACCCCCAAGUAAUCUCAGGGUGUGAAACCAAGAAAGAAUCGGAAAUAAUACUGAUUGUCUGAUUUCAAAACCCCUUUUCCAUCUUCUCGGCUCCCUUGUCUGCCAAGGAAAACCGAAUGGCUGAUGUCUUUCUUACAAGUCUAAUGCUUCCUCUGCAAUGGGGAAUGUCAUGUGAACUUUGGGGGCAUCGUCACCUGCAGUCCCGACUCUAAAGAUGGAAGCUGAUGGGUGUCUCUUCAACUCUCUUCCACUAUAUCUCCGUAUAUCCCACUGGGAGAUCCUGGUACAGGUGGGAUGAUUUGGUGAAUUGUGAACUGAGCCAGAAGAUGCAUGGAAGCACUGAUGCUUCCAUACGAGAUUUAAAGCCCAUCAUUGCCAACUGUGAACGAGAUCCAAAGUUAGAGAAAGCUUUUUGCUACUUAAUGCAAGUGGGAACAGAAACCGUCCUGCCUACUGAAUUAUUCAGUUUAUUCUGAUGGAGUAGAAAGUGACCAAGCCUUGUGUGAUACCCCCAAACCAUACAGAUAUUUGACAUUAGUGAAGGCUGAUCUCUUUGAGCCUUGUCUCUACCUGGGCAAACACAGAAGCAAGGAUGAGAUUCUGGAUGUCUAGUGCCUCAUUGCUUAUUGCUCAAGCACUUUUCACUAUAUAAUUGUUAAAAUUAUCUUUUAAGUGAGGCUGCUUCUGAAAUCCUCCACAUCUGAAUUUCUUUCUGCAUUUGUAACCUUUUGAAUGACCUGGCUUUUGGUCAUGAUACAACAAGGCCUGGAGAGGUAAGCCCUUGGCAUUAAAGCCAACUUUGCCUGAUGAGUGAAACAAGUGGGCAUUUCUGAAGUGGGUGGGACAUGGUUCUCUACUGCAUGUUCUCUGCAGCACAAAUGGCCCAGUUUGACAUGUGGGAAUCACCAUCAAAGGUACCUAAACUGCAAUGGUUGCAUCUGUGCCAAAUGUUUUUUUUUUUUUUUAUAAAGAUAUUGGAAUUGUACAAGGUUGCAAAGUCUUAAAAAAUUUCAACCAUCUCAACCUCAACGUUUUAUGUGUUCUUGUGUAAGAAGGCCAAAACCUUGCAUCUUCU